AUUGAACGCUGGCGGCAGGCCUAACACAUGCAAGUCGAGCGGAGCGGCGGACGGUUGCGUAAUGCCUAGGAAUCUGCCUGGUAUUGUGGGAUCACGUCCGGAAACGGGCGCUAAUACCGCAUCCUAUCCGAUGAGCCUAGGUCGGAUUAGCUAGUUGGUGGGGUAAAUGCCUACCAAGGGGACGAUCCGUAACUGGUCUGAGAGGAUGAUCAGGCACAAAGGAACUGAGACACGGUCCAGACUCCUACGGGAGGCAGAAGUGGGGAAUAGUGGACAAUGGGCGAAAGCCUGAUCCAGCCAAGCCGCGUGUGUGAAGAAGGGCUUCGGAUUGUAAAGCACUUUAAGUUGGGAGGCGUUACCAACAGAAUAAGCAACGGCUAACUUCGUGCCAGCAGCAGCGGUAAUUC
rnacentral:rRNA from 1 species